rnacentral:rRNA from 1 species
GGAAUAUUGGUCAAUGGGCGAUAGCCUGAACCAGCCAAGUCGCGUGCGGGAUGAAGGCCCUCCGGGUCGUAAACCGCUUUAGCCGGGGAGUAACGUGCGGGACGCGUCCCGCAGUGAGAGUACCCGGAGAAUAAGCAUCGGCUAACUCCGUGCCAGCAGCCGCGGUAAUACGGAGGAUGCGAGCGUUAUCCGGAUUUAUUGGGUUUAAAGGGUGCGCAGGCGGCUUGUCAAGUCAGCGGUCAAAUUUCGGCGCUCAACGCCGUACCGCCGUUGAAACUGGCUGGCUGGAGUGCGUGGGAGGAUGGCGGAAUGCGCGGUGUAGCGGUGAAAUGCAUAGAUAUCGCGCAGAACCCCGAUUGCGAAGGCAGCUCUCCAUCACGCCACUGACGCUCAUGCACGAAAGCGUGGGUAUCGAACA